rnacentral:tRNA from 11 species
GGGGCGUUAGCUCAGUUGGUUAGAGCAGAGGACUCAUAAUCCUUUGGUCGACAGUUCAAGUCUGUCACGCCCUACCA